UACGAAGGGGGCUAGCGUUGUUCGGAAUUACUGGGCGUAAAGCGCGCGCAGGCGGCUAUCCAAGUCAGUGGUGAAAGCCCGGAGCUCAACUCCGGAACUGCCAUUGAAACUGUUUAGCUUGAGUAUGAGAGAGGUGAGUGGAAUUCCCAGUGUAGAGGUGAAAUUCGUAGAUAUUAGGAAGAACACCAGUGGCGAAGGCGGCUCACUGGCCCGGAACUGACGCUGAGGUACGAAAGCGUGGGGAGCAAACAGG
rnacentral:rRNA from 1 species